UGCAACAACUUGCGAUGUACCAACUGUGAUUUCAAGGUUUCCGUUUUCCGGGAUUUCGCUUGGGAUCCGAGUACUAGCUAUCUCUUCUUGCGGAACAAUAUGCCUAUAUUUGAGAAGCUGAGAUCCAAACUUCGUGUCAAGAAAGGAUGGUGCGCUUAUGGAUGCCAGUGCCAUGCCAUGUCAGUUAAUGUAUUAACUGAGUUGAAAAAAGCUUCUCAUGUGAAAUGGGUGUGUGGAGGUCACAGCGAUGUUUGACUUUGCUUCUGCACUACAUCUACUUCCCAGAAUUACACUGGAGGAGUAAAAUCGUUAACAGAGCAUAAUCAUCAUCAUUACAGAGAUCACACAAUUUCUUUUCUCCCUUAUGCAUGUUGCAUUUAAUUAAAAAAAAAAAGUUCUUCACCUCUGUACUAAUCCAAUAUAGCAAUAUUAAUUUUGUUCUUUAAUUUCAGUAAUUAUUACUUUUGAGAAAUAUGGGACGUAGUUAUGCUUUUUUAUGUGUGAGAGACUGUAACGAAAUUUAAGAAAUCAUACAUCUGGAAUAAAAGAGAAUUGAAUUAAGCCACAUUGUAGAAAAACAUUCAAAGGCGCUGCUUAAAAUUUAGAUGAAAUUAAAGCUGACUACAUUGACAUCAUUGCACAGUUAAUGAUGUGUUUUAGUAAAAGUAAGGUUUGAUUCAGACGUAAGUUUAUUUGCCUGAUGUUUAAAAGAAACCUGUAAGGUAUAACAAAAGAGUUGUUCUGUUUAGAAUGGAGUAAAAUUCGUUUAUUUACAUGCCAAUAAAUAUGACAGUAACAUUAUGAAUAAGCGCUACACUCAGAUAAUGCCCUUACUUGAAACGGCUUGUUUUAUGUAUAAAGAAAUAUAUCUCAGGUAUGUAUCUUAAAUAAAACUUGGAUAAAUUUUCAGCUAUUCCGUCCAAUUACCUCCCGAAAUAAGUAAAAAUGAGCCAAAUAUUUAUCGUGAUGUUUAAAAAUUAGCUUAUUGUCUAUAAAAAUAUAUUCAAGCCACAUGUGCAGGUUAUCUAGUCAAAUAACAAUCGUUUUUGAUAUCAAGUGCAUUAAAAAUUGCAUUAUAUAUAGAGGUAAUUAUACUAAAUAAUUGAGUCACACUACUAGUCAGAUGAAACGAAGUUUCACUUAAUAACGGGGCUAAAAGAUAUCAAACAAAAUGCGUAUUAAAAUCAAUUGAUCUCAUGGAAAUAAUGAAUCCCCUCUCAUGUAAGUAAUGAAAUGAGAUUAAAAGAUAUCUAAUACUAAUGUAUAACUGUAUAAUACUGAAUUAUAGAAAUCAUAGGGGAUAUACAGGUAGAUCAAAUGUUGUUGAGGACUGCCACAUCACUACUUCCCUCCGGAAAAUUUCAAAUUUAGUUUUUCAGUUCCGAUUUAUUUAGUAAAUAUUCAGUUAUAACCAAACUUUAUCAUAGUAAAGAUGUUUCAAAUGAAACAAUUAUAAGUUUUAGCCAUCAAAAAAAUUAGGAGGUCUAACAUAUUUGAAAACAAAGAGUGAUUAUAAACGAUAGCAACUAGAAAUCGUCAAUAAUUUUCAUGACGUAAAUUUAAAGGAAAUCUGAAAUAGUUCCAAGUAUAAGUAUUUUAGAAGAAAAAGUUAUAAAAGAACAAUACCAUUUUUAAAGAUAUAUUCAGACGUAACUCGAAAUAUCUUAAAUUUCAAUUUUAACGUUUAUAGCUUUGCUCAUAAUAGUACAAAGGUGAGUAUUUUAAUGCGGCAAAGCACGCAUUAUAGCAUUUUGUUAAAAGCCGUUUCUUUAACCAGCCUUUCCCCCCUGUUUAGUUAGUCAUAAGUUUACCUAAAAUAGAACUCUGCACAAAAUAUCAACUAUAAUGAUAAUUUAAAACUUUUAUAACUAAAUGAAAAUUCGAAUAGCUAAGAUAAAAAAAAUUGUAAAUCAAAACUCUAAUUUAAAUUUGCAAUAAUCCUUUAACUUAAUUUGGAUAUUUUCCCUGUCCAUGGAUUAACACUGGAUGAUGCAAUUAAUUCAGAACGGAGAGUCAAAAAUGUUUUUCCUCCUCAGACAAGCAUAAUCUUGGAUUACGUCACUUUUCUCUUCUACUCCUCUUCCUAGCUUUUUGCAAAUGAAGAGAGUUUACACUCUCUUCAAAAUUAUAGUAUUUUAAAAUGAAGCAAUCCCGAUUCAGUUCUUAAAGUUAUUUUGUUGGCUUACAAAUGCAUGUCAACGAGAAAUAAAAAGCAAUAUUCUGACACGACUACUUCUUAUUAAGUCUACAUGACUCCAAAUAUUUCUGUUCUUCAACAUCUGCGUCAUCAACGAUCUUCCAGUUUAUUACUGAGUCGAGAGGAUUUGACGAGCUGAAUGAAACAUUAUGUAGAGAUUGCGUUGAAAAGUUUUGAAUUUUAAAUUGGAAUAAACACUGUUCUUUUAAUUUUGUAGAUGAUCUGUAUUCAUGAAAGGUAACAUUUUAUAAAUUAACUGUAUACGAGACCGAUUAAGUAUUAUUGGUACACACCCAUUUUCGCGAACAAAAGUCAUCUUUCUUCUCCUUAUAUGGGUAUAUGCAAAACAUAACGUAAUCAAUUACCCUAGGAUUUUCCAAAAUUGUCAACAGCUGCAGCUGUUUUAAAACUGUAUGUUUAUAGAUAUAAUAUACUUCUGUUUGUCUGAUCAUAAAAGGGCGAUCUAUUCUAAAACCUCUUGAAUAUUUGAAAUUUAUAUUUUAUUCUCUUACUAUUGCUUUUGUUACCAUUAUAAGAUGAUUUACUGUCGUAAAGUGAGCUAGCCAUCCUUUGCUUCUACUUUGAAAUCCCUGCCUCAACUAUUUUCUUAUGUUUCAGAUGAAAGAUCAAUAAAUUCAGAAUCACUUUGCAUAAAGUGUUGAUAAAAAGAGAAUCAGUUCAAAUAGAAGUUCCAUAAAACAGAACUCUCACAAAAAUCAUAAGAACAUAAUCGCUUUAUUUAAAAGACUGGUAAAAACAGAAUUGCUUUCUUAAGAUUAAAUAUAAGCAAAAAUAGAUAUUCAGAAGCAGAAAAUCUGAAGCCCAGAUGAACACAGCUCAUAGUAAAUUAGCUUUAAUUAGUGGCAACUUACUGGUAAGAAUCACCUUAAUUUCAGACAGGGCAUUAAUUAAAGUUUACUAGAAAAAAUCACCUUAAUUCCUGAGCUCCAGUUUUUGACAUUAAUCAAAGCUUACUGAAAGGAAUCACUUUAAUUCCUGAGAGCCAAUUCUUGGCAUUAGAAAGCUUACUGAAAAGAAUCACUUUAAUUCCUGACAGCCAAUUUUUGGUAUUAAUCUAAGCUUACUCGAAAGAAUCAAAUUAAUUCCUGACGGCUAAUCCUUGACAUUAAUCAAAGCUUACUGGAGAGAAUCACCUUAAUUCCUGAGAACCAAUUCUUGGUAUUAAUCUAAGUUUACUGGAAAGGAUCACAUUAAGUCCUGACAGCUAAUCCUUGGCAUUAAUCAAAGCUUACUAGAAAGAAUCUUAUUAAUUCCUGACAGCUAAUUCUUGGUAUUAAGCAAAGUUUACUGGAAAGAAUCACCUUAAUUCCGAACAGCUAAUCCUUCCUUUACAACUGCAUAUUAUUUUUUCCUAGAAACCAGAAGAGUAGAGAUCACCCAGAUAAUCAUUACAUAUUCAAAUGCGAACCUAACUGCUUUUUUCUUGUAAAGCCAUUUAUAUUUUCUGAUUUAUUUAUUUAUUAGCAUAUUACUGUACGAAAUACUUAUUGCAUGAGUUGAGAGAAGGGAUUGAAAAUGUGAACUUAAGAAGUAGUUUUAAACUAGAAGAACUAAAAGUAGUUUGAAAAACUAAAUAAAUCUUAUAUGAUCUUAUAAUUUUAUAUUCGUAGAACAUUAUGAGCUGGGCUUAAACUUUUUGCUAAGCGAAUCACCUUAUUUUAUCAAUUCAGUUGCCUUUUAUAGGAGAAAAAUUUAGCUUUUGCAAACUUUAGCUAAUUUUUACGCUUGUAGAAUUUAAUAUGUCAUUAAAAAUGCCAUGUACACGAUAUGCACUAUACUCUUUUACGUUGUUUGUUUAAAAAGCCUAGAAUCGUAGGUGUUUAAUAAAGUAAGUCGUAUGUUCUCCAAAUACUGUUAUACGAAAAUGUGGAAGUCCUAGAUGACACUGAUUAUAACGAUAUUCAAGGAAUCUGCAAGCUAAAGCAGAAUGAUUUUCUAAAGCAUAUUUAAUUUUUAUGUUAAUGAAGUAAUCAAAUAAGAAGUAAAUAAUUUAGAAGAAUAGAACUGAACAGGAAACAAGGUAAAAAUGAUUAAAUUUUAAAACACAGUAUUGGUUUUAAUUAGUUAGCUAAAACAAGAGGUGUGGAAUUUUCUAAUUUAAAAAUCAAAUUAGUAUAUAAUUAUUAAUCCUUUAAAUUAUUACUGAGUAAGGAAAAAUUGGUAUUAUAAAGAAGAAAUAGAAAAAAUUUAUGCCGGCUUGGAAAUAAAUGAAAAUGAAAACUACAUCUGUAUUAAUAAUAUUUUGACGUAGCUGCUGCCUCUUGUGCUCUUUUGUAUUGAUUGUAAUCGUAAAAUCAUAAAAUAAAAAUUAGUACCAGCUAAAACAUUAUUUUAGCUAUUUAGAAUUGUUUAAAUUUUUUUUCCGUUUCACUGAAGUAUAUAUUCUUUUUGAAUAUUAUUGAUAAAAUUAAGAAUUUAUCUAAUUUAAUCAAAUAAGUAAGUUCGAACACGAAAUGUUUAAAAGCAUUCAAUUUUCUUUAGAAAAUUAAAAAAUUAUAUUCCGUUUUGAUUGUUUUUAAAUCUUUAUAUAGAUAAAAAUUUUAAGAUAUUGCUUGCUUAUUAAAUUAAAAAUAUAAUUAUUUAUUUUAUUUAAAUAAUAAAAUAUGUAUUUAAUUAAAUGUAUUACUGUUCGUGCAUUUUUGCUGUCUUACACAGUUGUUAUAUUCAUUCAGUUAUGAGACUGUCUAAAAAUUAUUAUGAUUAAACAAUGUAGUAAAAUAAUUAAUAUUAAUUAACAAAAUAAUAAACUAUUUUCUUCUAAUUUGUAAACUUCUCCAAAGAGGAAAAUAUUAAAAAACGAAGCGAAAUCCUGAAAUGCAUUGCAACAGUAAGGUACAUUUUUGAUAUUUUUAUUUCUUAAUUUGUUUUGCUUCAGACACAGCAUAGUAUGUAUGCAAUAUACUGUACAAGUCACUCUACAAAACAUUAGCUGCAGAAAUGCUUGUACCAUGUUAAAAGUUAUUAUAGUUCUUAGCUUAUGGAAAGAAAUUUGUAUUUGCUAAUAAUAUGUAUUUCUACAAAUGCAUGGCUAUGUUCAUUGCGUAUUUACAGUAUAUCGUGCCUUUAAUACAGUGGUGUCAAACUCGCCACAUGCAUGUUCUUGAAACAAUUAAGAUAGGCCAGAUUUCUUUAUUUCAAAAUUAAAAAAUUAUAUUAACAAAAUGAAAAAUAUUUUUAAUAAAUUUUAAGUUUCGCAUACUAAGUAUUUAUCAAAACGUGACAUAAACAACAAUAAUAUCAUAAAGGAAAACAACUCUAAUUUCUGUUAAUUUUCUAUCUGAAAUUUAAAUUUUUGGUACUUGCAAAAUGACAGCUAAAUAUUAAAUUCCUAAACUGAUAUUCCCGUCAAAUAAUUCUAUAUAACAUGUUUAAUUAAUCAUAAAAUAAUUUACUUAAAUUUAAACUAAAAGUAAGCCACUUUUGAAGUUUUCAGAGAAGCAUUUCCAUGUGAUACCAAACCUGAGAAUUAAUAAUGAUAACCUUAUAAGGUAUUUCUCCCUCUUUCCUAGCGUGUCUUCGUGGUGUAGUGGUUCUGCACGCUGGACCGGUAUCCAGAGGUCCGUGGUUCGAGUCCCGGCGAAGGCGUUUGCUAAUUUUUCAUCUUUCCUGCUUCUCAAAACUAACCUAAUGUCUCUACAACCUAAUUUCUUUCUCUUAUGUAUUAUUCUUUCGGCGGAUAAAAAGAAAAUACUUAUAUUUGUAUACAAGUUUAUUAUAAACUCUUUUUUUCUUACUACAGCUUGAUGCAUGCUUGAUGCUUGAUGGUACUAGAUUUUGAUAAAGUCUGUAGUUUUGGAGAAAAAUUACUGUAAGUUAUCUUCAUUACGGAUUGUAGUAUUUGCUCAGCCUUUAAUUGAGUUCUUACCAAUUUUCAACUGUGAGUAUUCCCAAACAAAAUGUACAUUCUUAGUGCAAAUGUUCCUAACUUACUUUUUGAUAACUAUGAAUAAAAUUUAAUGAAAUUUGUAUCUUGAAAUCUGUGAAUAAGAUUUAUAUCAUAUUGUAAAUCAAUUAACUACAUUUAUAUAUUUCCUAUACGUUCAUUUUUGAUGGAAAUGAAAAUAAUAUAAACUCGAAUGACCAAAUAGAAUAACUAAACGGAAAUGAAAAAUAAUAUUAACUCAAAUAACUAAAAUCUUGAAAUCUUUGCCGCCAGUUUGACACCCCUGCUAUAAGCCUGUCUAGUCAAGUCAUAUUGGCUGUGAUAGUAUUAUGUGAUUUGUAUUUUUCAAUGUUAUGUAUUAACUAAUAAAUAGAAAAGGGAUUAUUAAAA